rnacentral:rRNA from 1 species
CCUACGGGGGGCAGCAGUGGGGAAUAUUGGACAAUGGGGGGAACCCUGAUCCAGCCAUGCCGCGUGUGUGAAGAAGGCCCUCGGGUUGUAAAGCACUUUCAGUGAGGAAGAACGCCUGGUGGUUAAUACCCAUCAGGAAAGACAUCACUCACAGAAGAAGCACCGGCUAACUCCGUGCCAGCAGCCGCGGUAAUACGGAGGGUGCGAGCGUUAAUCGGAAUUACUGGGCGUAAAGCGCGCGUAGGUGGCUUGAUAAGCCGGUUGUGAAAGCCCCGGGCUCAACCUGGGAACGGCAUCCGGAACUGUCAAGCUAGAGUGCAGGAGAGGAAGGUAGAAUUCCCGGUGUAGCGGUGAAAUGCGUAGAGAUCGGGAGGAAUACCAGUGGCGAAGGCGGCCUUCUGGACUGACACUGACACUGAGGUGCGAAAGCGUGGGUAGCAAACAGGAUUAGAUACCCUGGUAGC